GGGGGCUGCAGAGGCAAAACAAAUCAGGGAAGUGUCGGCUUGUUGUCGUGUUCACGGAUUUUUUCAUAUUUUUUAUAUUUUAUAUUUUCUAUAUAUUUAUAUUUUUUAUAUUUAUUUUUUCUCUUCAUCCUUUUGAGCCGUUCAGUCAUUACACAACCAGAGCUGUGACUUUGACUGGUCCUUAAAUGGACGACAAAUCUCAACCGUCUCCCACUAGAGGAAAAAAUGAAGCCAAAUGAUCUUGGACACGGGAGCUGCCAUCUUGCUCUGAUGUUACUUGGGAGCAGAGUGUGCACAGUAGUGAUCAGGGAGAGUUAACUACAGACGAGCCACAUACACACCUUGGUUCUGGCGUCUGUCUCGGAGCGAGCCUCCUGGUUCGGGGACCUGACCCAGAGGAGGCGUCCCCUCACAGAUCCUGGGGGACCCGGGGUCCUUCUCACUGCCGGAGUCGGGCAGCGGGUCCCUGUCGGUGAUGCAGGGGGUGAUGCUGCAGCGUCUCUGAAGGGUCAGCGGGGACAUGACACCCUGGACGGGAACAAUAUAUCAAUAAGGUUUUGAAAUACACAAAGUGUUCCCUUUGAACACGUGACAUAAUUUACUUAUAUUAUCAGAAAAGGGAAAACAGGGUUGAAAUGAAAACUGCUGCCGACUCACCUCUCUCACCUUUCUGAUCAAAUUCAGCCAAAGACUGAAAGAUAAACAUGAUAAAAACAUUAUUAUAUUUCACUCAGAAACCUGUGGAUUACAAUCGCAACACAUAAGCACGAUAGGUGCAUAUAUAGAGUGUAUACACCCACUUGCAGUCCUCUGGGUUGUCAGUGAGCAGCAGCAGGAACUUGUUCUGGGGCAGGAUGAGGGCGAAGCAGCAGUCCCUUCUGCCCCCUGGAGGCAGCCGGGGCAGGUCCAGGAUCUCUCGUCCCUCCACGAUGGACCCACAGCUGGUCUGCAGAGCCACCACCUGAUCGGGGGGGGAUUCUGCGUCGCGGCACACCAGCAGGUUUCCCUCCAUGGUCAACACCAGGUGCUUCUCCUUCCACUGUUUAAACAUGAAGCCCCCUGCAGACAAACAAGACACAAGGUCCAGUUAUAGAUACUUAUAUACUUAUAUUCAUAUAUUAAAACGACUGUGUAGGAUCUCAAACUUUUAAUGUGUGGAUAAAAAAGUUUGUGUGUUGAUAAAUUAAGUUUUUUGAGGCUAUGGUUUAGUUUGUACUCAACUUAUAUAUGUUCUUUUUAGUUUUUGUCUUAAUUGGACAAGUAGAAAGAAGAAUUAUUACAAAUAUACCACAUAAAGAGCAAUAAAUAGCAUUGAUGCAAUAACAAUCAGUAAUGGUUAUAAUGUUGGGCCGGGUCAGAACAGGAGCACUGAAUAUUAUUACACUGCACAAGAGGAUAUUUAAUGAUCUGUUCAGAAACAUAAAGUCCCCCCAUGAGUGACACCUUAAACACUCAUAUUUAAAAUAAGGGCUAUUCUGAAAUGUUAUAUUAAAGAGAUUACUCGACAAAACAGGGGAGACUGCAUAUGGCUUAUGAUCUGAAUUCUAAAAUAACUGUAGAAAUGUAAACUAGAUAUAAACAAUAAAAAGAAAACUACGUGCAAAUGAUUACAGCAGGUGAUUCUACGUGUCCUACGAGCUCUAUCAGUCGUCACCUUCAGGGAUCAACAGUGAAAACACGUUUCCAGGGCAGGACACACAUGAUGGAUUGUCCCAGACAGCGAUCAGCUGAGUAAUAAUGAUAAUAGACGGAGGACACAUGUUGAUGGAUGGGGAAGACUCGCUCUAGUUCUCCACACAGAGGAUUAAAGACGGACAGGUGGAUUUUCAAAAGAGAGAGAGCAGAGAGGUGGAGAGGCCGAGAGGUGUGGACUGAUUUAUUUAUAUGACAUCAUGAGAGUGAUAUAGCAAAGUUAGUCCUCUAGAAGAGUGUCUGCUAGAGAAUUGUGGAUUUCAAUAAACAUAUUGACUAAAGCU